GGAGCAGGGCCGGGGGUGAUGCUCAGCCCUCCGCGCCCCGAGGCUCCCGCCGCUCGCUGAGGAGAAGGGUGGGGGGCUCCCAGGCUGCGGCCCCCAAAACUCCCCCGCGGCCUCUGGGGAUGCCGGCGGUGGGUCCCCAGGGGCGAGGAUGCUCGCAGGGCUUGGCUUCAAAACCCUGAUGCUUGAGAGACCUGAGGAAGCAAAGACACUCCCUGCAGAUUCGCCCAGAUCAUGAACACCAUCAGACUGACUCAGCAAGUAUUUCUACAUAUGCCUAACCACAGAGGUGAUCUAGGAGAACCUACUCAAGAGCCACCUAAUA